AAUUUGCUAAUUAAAGUAGUUCUCCUCUCAAAAUCACAUAUUUUAAGUUGUUUACAUCUUGAUUUACAAACCAGUUCGGUUUUAUGAGUUAUGGACUUAUGGUGAUUCAACAGUUGUAGGUGUUAAACUGAUAACCCUUGUAUUGUUACAUACAUAUCUGCAGGCCAAAAAAAAUUAAUCAAGUUUGUCCAUCUUUUGAGGCUGUUUGACUAGGUGAUUAUGCUCCAACUUUGACCUUUGUAUACUUUGGUGAGCAUGCGGAUAGAGGCAAAUAGAGCUUGGAAUAAUACACUUGCUUGCUGCAGGUGUAACUGGAGUAUCUCCAGUCCUGGAAAAUCCAUUGGUAUAUGCCAUCAGUAUGUUGCUAUUUCAGUUUCUGAACGCAAUUUGAAAAGGCACAGUGCAUGCAAAUGGAAGAUGACGACUUCUUAAAUAGGAAGGCAAGGCUGGGACUUAUGGUGCUCACGUUGGAGGUGAUACAGGCAUGUUAGUGUCUUUUGGUUCGCCGAGUAGAAGAUGUCGAAGUGGCUGGUUUUUGGUUUCUUUUGGUUCGCCUCUAGUUACCCUAGAGUUUUUACCGCUUAGUUUUAAAAUUUGUGUAACUGAUCGUAUGUUUCCUAUAAUACGCUUUGUAUUGUGCUUUUCUUGAAUUCAAUGUGAGAUUGCGCAUGUGAAAUGCUA